rnacentral:pre_miRNA from 1 species
AUAAGUAGUGGUGCCGCAGGUACUGUGUCCAUCCAUACCUGCACACCGGUGCUUACCA